rnacentral:rRNA from 1 species
GGUAGGACUACCCGCUGAACUUAAGCAUAUCAAUAAGCGGAGG